rnacentral:rRNA from 1 species
CACGUAGGGGGCAAGCGUUGUCCGGAUUAUUGGGCGUAAAGAGCUCGUAGGCGGUUUGUCGCGUCUGCUGUGAAAACUCGGGGCUUAACUCCGGGCCUGCAGUGGGUACGGGCAGACUAGAGUGCGGUAGGGGAGACUGGAAUUCCUGGUGUAGCGGUGAAAUGCGCAGAUAUCAGGAGGAACACCGGUGGCGAAGGCGGGUCUCUGGGCCGUAACUGACGCUGAGGAGCGAAAGCGUGGGGAGCGAACAGG